UGCACGUGCAGUGCUGACGUCUGUGGAUCCAGUGGCGUUGAUAGCGACGACUGCUGCUUGAAUGACGAACUUUUCGCCUCCAAUGAUAGCGAGGUCUUGAAUAAAUAACGUGCCGUGCGUGCCGCCGCUGCUGCUGUGUCAAUCAUCCGGGCUUCGGUCCGUUUUGUGUGCUGAUCGCACGGCCACGAGCCGGCCACGUUUCUUUCAAGUGUCUGCCUUAUCGACUGACGAUGGUAGGUUAUGCGCCUACCAUGGUUGUUACCGGUAAGGAAGAAUGAGGGCUCGAUUCCGGAGAGGGAGCCUAAAAAAUGUUUACCGCAUCCAAG
rnacentral:ncRNA from 1 species